rnacentral:rRNA from 1 species
GACGAACGCUGGCGGCGUGCUUAACACAUGCAAGUCGAACGGAAAGGCCCUGCUUUUGUGGGGUGCUCGAGUGGCGAACGGGUGAGUAACACGUGAGUAACCUGCCCUUGACUUUGGGAUAACUUCAGGAAACUGGGGCUAAUACCGGAUAGGAGCUCCUGCUGCAUGGUGGGGGUUGGAAAGUUUCGGCGGUUGGGGAUGGACUCGCGGCUUAUCAGCUUGUUGGUGGGGUAGUGGCUUACCAAGGCUUUGACGGGUAGCCGGCCUGAGAGGGUGACCGGCCACAUUGGGACUGAGAUACGGCCUAGACUCCUACGGGAGGCAGCAGUGGGGAAUAUUGCACAAUGGGCGGAAGCCUGAUGCAGCAACGCCGCGUGCGGGAUGACGGCCUUCGGGUUGUAAACCGCUUUCGCCUGUGACGAAGCGUGAGUGACGGUAAUGGGUAAAGAAGCACCGGCUAACUACGU